rnacentral:tRNA from 1 species
GUCCCCGUAGCUCAGCCAGAUAGAGUGUCACGCUACGAACGUGAAGGUCGCAGGUUCGAGUCCUGUCGGGGACG